rnacentral:lncRNA from 1 species
AAGGAAGACCUUUGAGGGUUAACUCCGGACCACCACCACCCAGAGAUGAAUUCGCACCCAGAACACCGAGGGCCAUGGGCGGCGGUGGUGGUGGCGGCAGCUUUGAUUCAGCCAACAAGCUCUACGUCGGGAACCUAUCCUGGGGUGUUGACAACUCAACGCUUGAGAACCUGUUCAGCGAACAAGGAAAGGUGCUUGAUGCUAAGGUCAUCUAUGACCGGGACAGCGGCAGGUCGAGGGGCUUUGGCUUCGUCACCUAUGGCUCUGCUGAUGAGGUCAACAAUGCGAUCUCAAACCUCGACGGAGUGGUAAGUUCUUGCAUAUUAUGUUCAGUGUCCAGUUUCAACAGAGUUACAUCUAUCUAGUUGUGUAAUGUGACUAUAGUCCUUCACAUUGUUUAAUGUGACGGCUUGUAUGUUCUUCGCAUUGUUUUGUGAAAUAGGUAUACUGAUGAAGCAUAUGGUUUUUGUUGUGUAGGACCUUGACGGCAGGCAGAUCCGGGUUACCGUGGCAGAGUCGAAGCCGAGGGAGCAAAGGCGGUUUUAAGAUAUCCUGACGCUGGUUAGAGAUUAAUCACGUGUUGCGUAAGUGUUAGUUUGUAGUUUCUACUACUAUUUUCUCGCGGUUGAUGAGAGAGACUGGGAAGUGAAUUUGUAUACCGGAAGAUUUUUGUCAGCCGUGCAACUCGUUGCGCCUCUUGAUAGAAAAAGUAGAAAUUUUGUCAAAGUCAUUCUAUAUGCUUAGCAGCAUAGAUGAUGUACGAUACCAUUAAAAACCCUUUUGAAUGUUUGUUGAUGCUGUGUAUGGCUCUAUCCCCCUCGAAAGUAAAACGCCUACUGUUUCUCUGAAUUUCUUUUUCUAGCUUAAGUCCCUACUUUUU